UCACUCCAUGCAUCUGAAGAAGUGGUGUUUUACCCACAAAAGCUUAUGCCCAAAUAAAUCUGUUAGUCUUUAAGGUGCUACCAGACUCCUUGUUAACUUUGAUGUAGUUAAGGCUCUGUCCUUUUGCUGGGCAAAACAAAAACCAUUCCGAAGCUCCUCUAGGCUAAUUAUAGCAUUUGCAGAUAGAACGAAGGAUCAGGCAGUAUCUACCCAAAGAUAAUUUAAAUGGGUCUCUAAUUGUAUUCAAUCAUACUAUGAGUUAGCUAGAUUAGAUUCACUGAUGCAAUUUGGAACCCACUCCAUCAGAGAAGAGACAACCUGUUGAUUCUCUGAGAAGCUAUGAGGGGAUCAGUUCACAUUUUAUACAGUAUAAUUCACUGGUAGAGGCAUCAGUAUCAGACACGCACUUUAGCAGAGCAGUACUCCAGUCGUUAUUGAAAUAGACGGCAAGCACCAAUCCUCCUUUCUACGAGGUCACUGCUUGUGAGUCACCAGGAGUGGAAUACAUUUGAACAAUCACUUGAAGAAAGAACAGGUACUUUACCCUCCAGUAAAUGGGAUUCUUUGAGAUGUGUUGUCCAUGUGUAUUCUAUGAUCUGCUCUUCGUCCCUGCUACCAUGGAGUCCUGUAACACCUGGAUUCUGUCUCGACAAAGGAACUGAGGGACAGUUGGGCCCACUCGGCUGUUUAUGCUCCCUGCACGUAGACUGCAGAUGCAACCCCAAUGGAUUUUGCUGAUAAAAAUAAUCUGAUCUCGUGCAUGGCAUGCAUGCACACCAGAAAUGGAAUACAUAUGGACACACCUCUUGAAAAACCAAUAUUAAUUUAUAGUAGGGUAAGUAGUUGUUUUCUCAUUUAGAUCUUUCUAGGAUACCAUUGCACAGCUUACUUUUGAAUGAAGUAAAGUUGUUUUUUGGAGUACCCUAGUUCCUUGCAGUAAGAGAAAUGGAGCCUAGUUGUUUGUGUUCAGUUGCCAAUGUCUCAAAGUAUUUCAUCAAGCAAUCUUCCCAGUAAACUUGGGUUCUGGGACUACUAGUUCACAGCCAUUGGAAGGGUUUUUGUGUAUUUUAGAGAAUUUUACAUGUAGUGUUUUACAAAUGUUACCUACUUUGCAGGGGUGCUGUGACAAUUAGUUAUCUUACAGAUGGUGGAAAAAAGGCAGAAAAGUUGAGUAAUUCAGAGCCAGAAUUAGAAUGUUGUGGUCUCUUGUUGUCAGUCCCUGCUCAGUCCAGUAGUGUUCUCACAUUGUUAAAUUCUAACCCUUAUAACUAGGUGCUCAGCUUAGUAGUUAGCUCAGCUGCAGGCAACCACCUGUGAAGGGAGCUGGGAGUAGCUUUAGCUCCAUAAGGCACAUAGAGACAGAUGCCAGAGGGAGUAAUUGGGUAUGCUUGUGAUAACCUGUAAUCUUUCAGAAAAUUACUCACUGGGCUUUGCAUGCCAAAUGGCCAAUUCUGCAUAAGAAGCUCAAAUAUUAAGUAACAAGAAAAUAAAUGUUUCUUAGCAUGAUCAUGUCAGACUAAUUUGUGAAAUACGUGUUGUUUUCUUUUUUUUGUUUGUUUUUUUAAUUAUAGUUUAUCUCUUUUUCCCCCCCCCCAGAGGUGGCUGGAUCCAAACAAACCAAUCAGGAAACAAUUAAAAAGAGGAUCUCCUUACAGUUUGAACUUUAGAGUCAAAUUUUUUGUAAGUGACCCUAACAAGCUCCAAGAAGAAUAUACAAGGUACCAGUAUUUUUUGCAAAUUAAACAAGACAUUCUUACUGGAAGAUUGCCCUGUCCUUAUAAUACUGCUGCUCUUUUGGCUUCCUACGCUGUUCAAUGUAAGUAUAAUUGCUAAGUAGGUCUGAGUACAGAGAUUAUUUCAAAUUAUGCCUUCUAUUUUUCUGUUUUUUCAGUGAUCACCUAAGUUACCAUAAGUUAAUGAAUAGUAAUAAGCAUACACAAAUGGAUUUGUGUGAUGAUAUACCUAAAUCUGUACAAAAACAGUGGUAUUUUUUCCAUCAGUGAGGAAAGGUAAACCUUUUUCUUUCAUGCAUGUCAUGGUAUUUUCACUGAAGUGGUCAUGAAAUUGUUUUACUAGUACGCUCCCAACUUUCCAUUUCCUCUUUAUACUAAUGUCUAAAGAUAUAGUAUUGCUUUUUGUAAAUCUCUAUAUGCUCUAAAAUGUAAUAGGUUACUUCCUCAAUAAUGAAACUAAAGCUGUUUUUAGAUUUACAUAUUUCUUACUGUGAACAUCCAAAAGUGUGUGGAACAGGGAGUUCUGGUAGUAUCUAGCCGAAUAGUUCCAGUUUACAUAACUUAUAAACACAGUUGCCAAUUUUAAACAAGAUCGCAAAGCUGUAAAGUCUUGGAUAGUGAAGUUUUAGGUCCUUUCUUUUUUUCUGUUUCUUUUAUAAAACCUGGGCAAUUAUAUGGAAAACUACCACGAUAUGUAGUUAAGUAUUUGAAAAUCAGAAAAUGAUGAAAAUCAAGAUUUUAAAGUUACCUUAAUUCUGACCCUGGUGCUUUUCUACUAUUUUAGAUACUUAUAUUUGGUAUUUUUUAUAAUACUCCUUGCCAGGCAAACGUUCCAUUAAAGUGUUUGUGAAAAGUACAAAGCUAAGCCUAUUUUAUGACAUAUAAAGUAUAUAGCUUAGAUUAGUAAUGAAACUUGCAGGAAUAUUUGGCCCAAUUAUGUGUCCAGCCAAGUUAGCUUUGUACUUAAAUGCCUUCUCAUAUGAGUUGCUCUUAAAAAAGGCUGGGCUUCUGGUUGAAAUAAAAUAUGUAGUAAAAGAAUGCUGUCAAAAUUAUUAAAAUACAUACCUUAGAAAAGGUCUUACCAUAUAAAUCAUGACAAUGAAAUAAGUCAAGUGAAAAGAAUUUUAAAAAAAGUAGAAAAUGUAUACAGUAACUCCACACUUAACGUUGUAGUUAUGUUCCUGAAAAAUGUGACUUAA